rnacentral:rRNA from 1 species
UAGGGAAUCUUCCACAAUGGGCGAAAGCCUGAUGGAGCAACGCCGCGUGUGUGAUGAAGGGUUUCGGCUCGUAAAACACUGUUGUAAGAGAAGAAUGACAUUGAGAGUAACUGUUCAAUGUGUGACGGUAUCUUGCCAGAAAGGAACGGCUAAAUACGUGCCAG